CCUACGGGAGGCAGCAGUGGGGAAUAUUGGGCAAUGGGCGCAAGCCUGACCCAGCAACGCCGCGUGAAGGAAGAAGGCUUUCGGGUUGUAAACUUCUUUUAAGAGGGAAGAGCAGAAGACGGUACCUCUUGAAUAAGCCACGGCUAACUACGUGCCAGCAGCCGCGGUAAUACGUAGGUGGCAAGCGUUGUCCGGAUUUACUGGGUGUAAAGGGCGUGUAGCCGGGCUGAAAAGUCAAGUGUGAAAUCCCGUGUGUCAACCACGGAACUGCCUGUGAAACUGUCAGUCUUGAGUAUCGGAGAGGCAGGCGGAAUGCCAGGUGUAGCGGUGAAAUGCGGAGAUAUUAGGAGGAAGACCAGAGGCGAAGGCGGCCUGCUGGACGACAACUGACGGUGAGGCGCGAAAGCGUGGGGAGCAAACAGGAUUAGAUACCCCAGUAGUC
rnacentral:rRNA from 1 species